rnacentral:SRP_RNA from 1 species
GCUGGGUGCAGUGGGGUGCACCUGUAGUCUCAGCUAUUCAGCAGGCUGAGGCGGAGGAUCGCUUGGGCCCAGGAGCUCUGGGCUGUAGUGCGCUGUGCCAAUUGGGGUCUUCGCCAAGGCUGGAGGUCACACAUGGUGACCUCCAGGAAGCAGGGACUGCAGGUUGCCUACGGAGAGGGAAACCAGCCCCGGUCAGAAAGGGAGUGGUUCAAAAUCCCCAUGCCAAUCAGUAGUGGUAUUGCCCCUGUGAAUACCGCUGUACUCCAGUCUGGGAAACAUAGUGAGACCUCAUUUCU